rnacentral:rRNA from 1 species
UACGGAGGGUGCAAGCGUUGUCCGGAAUCACUGGGCGUAAAGGGCGCGUAGGCGGCUCAUGAAGGCUGUGGUGAAAGUCCGAGGCUCAACCUCGGAUCGGCCGUGGCGACUCGUGGGCUGGAGCACUGUAGAGGCGGGUGGAAUUCCGGGUGUAGCGGUGGAAUGCGUAGAGAUCCGGAAGAACACCAGUGGCGAAGGCGGCCCGCUGGGCAGUGGCUGACGCUGAGGCGCGAAAGCUAGGGGAGCAAACAGG